rnacentral:rRNA from 1 species
GCAGAGCAUCCUACGGGAGGCAGCAGUGGGGAAUAUUGCACAAUGGGCGCAAGCCUGAUGCAGCCAUACCGCGUGUAUGAAGAAGGCCUUCGGGUUGUAAAGUACUUUCAGCAGUGAGGAAGUGGGUAUGUUAAUAGCAUAUUCAUUUGACGUUAGCUGCAGAAGAAGCACCGGCUAACUCCGUGCCAGCAGCCGCGGUAAUACGGAGGGUGCGAGCGUUAAUCGGAAUUACUGGGCGUAAAGCGCAUGCAGGUGGUUUGUUAAGUCAGAUGUGAAAGCCCGGGGCUCAACCUCGGAAUUGCAUUUGAAACUGGCAAACUAGAGUACUGUAGAGGGGGUAGAAUUUCAGGUGUAGCGGUGAAAUGCGUAGAGAUCUGAAGGAAUACCGGUGGCGAAGGCGGCCCCCUGGACAGAUACUGACACUCAGAUGCGAAAGCGUGGGGAGCAAACAGGAUUAGAUACCCUGGUAG